AGUGAACGCUGGCGGUAGGCCUAACACAUGCAAGUCGAACGGCAGCACAGUAAGAGCUUGCUCUUACGGGUGGCGAGUGGCGGACGGGUGAGGAAUACAUCGGAAUCUACUUUUUCGUGGGGGAUAACGUAGGGAAACUUACGCUAAUACCGCAUACGACCUACGGGUGAAAGCAGGGGAUCUUCGGACCUUGCGCGAUUGAAUGAGCCGAUGUCGGAUUAGCUAGUUGGCGGGGUAAAGGCCCACCAAGGCGACGAUCCGUAGCUGGUCUGAGAGGAUGAUCAGCCACACUGGAACUGAGACACGGUCCAGACCCCUACGGGAGGCAGCAGUGGGGAAUAUUGGACAAAGGGCGCAAGCCUGAUCCAGCCAUACCGCGUGGGUGAAGAAGGCCUUCGGGUUGUAAAGCCCUUUUGUUGGGAAAGAAAAGCAGCAGGUUAACACCCCGCUGUUCUGACGGUACCCAAAGAAUAAGCACCGGCUAACUUCGUG
rnacentral:rRNA from 1 species